GAUGAACGCUGGCGGCGUGCCUAAUACAUGCAAGUCGAGCGAACAGACGAGGAGCUUGCUCCUCUGACGUUAGCGGCGGACGGGUGAGUAACACGUGGAUAACCUACCUAUAAGACUGGGAUAACUUCGGGAAACCGGAGCUAAUACCGGAUAAUAUAUUGAACCGCAUGGUUCAAUAGUGAAAGACGGUUUUGCUGUCACUUAUAGAUGGAUCCGCGCCGCAUUAGCUAGUUGGUAAGGUAACGGCUUACCAAGGCAACGAUGCGUAGCCGACCUGAGAGGGUGAACGGCCACACUGGAACUGAGACACGGUCCAGACUCCUACGGGAGGCAGCAGUAGGGAAUCUUCCGCAAUGGGCGAAAGCUUGACGGAGCAACGCCGCGGGAGUGAUGAAGGUCUUCGGAUCGUAAAACUCUGUUAUUAGGGAAGAACAAAUGUGUAAGUAACUAUGCACGUCUUGACGGUACCUAAUCAGAAAGCCACGGCUAACUACGUG
rnacentral:rRNA from 1 species